ensembl:lncRNA
GGUGGAGCGGUACAGGCCUUGACCCCAAAGGCGAGGCCUUUCUGCGACUGCCAGGUUGGGGAGCUCCGAGAAUGUGCCAACAGACGGCAGAAUACGUGGUUCCCUGCUCCACAAAAAACAAGUAUACUUGACAGCUAAGGACAGCCAUUAGAAAGAAGAGGUACUAGAAGCUAUACAAGUUUGUACUGAGGAUACAAGCCACUUACUGGAACUUAACCUCUCUGGGAGCCUUAUAAAAUGAGUGCAAACAAUAUAUCAUGCAUGCUAAGUCACUUCAGUCAUGUCCAACUCUUUGCAACCCUAUGGACUAUAGCCCUCCAAGCUCCCCUAUACACAGGAUUCUCCAGAAACUCCUUUACGAACCUUCUCCUUUCUCUUCCUGCCACUCAUCUGAGAGAGGUUCUCCAGGCCAGUCCUGGAAAAUUCCAGGACAAGGGGACCACUCGCAGAAUCCAGGUUGUCCCAGUGCAGCGGCUUUGAGUGCCCUGUUUCAUGCAUCGAACUUGGACCGGUCAUCCACUUCACAUGUGAAUUGAUGUCUCUCCUUUGACAUGCACCAGACUAAACAUGGCUGAGCCAGAUCCUAGUUUGCAUCACUUCUUAAUUUCAAAGCUAAUAAAAAAUAAUCCAUCUGUCAGAGACCCAAAUCCAAAUACCCUAAAGAGUGUGUCUAAGGGCUCAGCUUGGGCCAGGAGUCUCUUCUAGUCUGCAGAUAGCCAGAGAUUAGGAAU